UGGUGUAGAACUACUUGGAAAAGAAGAAUGAUGAUGUUUGCCUAGUUCACAAGCCUCACAUUCAAGGUGAGAUGCGGUCUUGCAACUAGGAAC